ensembl:lncRNA
GUGAGCCUACACCACAUUGCGUUUAUUGAGUGGAUGUUUUUGCCCACUUAUGAUAACGGUGUGAUCCAGAUGCCUCGGACACCAGCCUUCCGAGUUGCAAGUGGGGAAAUCUCCCAGCUUCCUUGUGUCAUUUCACAGAGGCACGCCCCCUUUUGGUCUGCGCCCGUAAAGAGAUUUAUUUUCUUUGUAUUUGUAUCACGUUGGUCAUUUAAAUGCUCUUACACACUUGAUUACAUUGUAACUUUAUUCCAGUCACCAAUCAAUGCAUUGCACGGUCUUGCUGUGCGUGCAAUACAAUGUAAAGUUGUGUUGUUGGUUUUUCGAGCUGGGUUGCUAAAGAGGCUAAUGUAGCUAACAAUACACAACGACUAGCCAAUUUCAUGACACAAUCACAAAGACGAACGGGAACGCUAAAAGUGCUCCAAGACCGGCAACUCGGAAGGCUGGCGUCCGAGGCAUCUGGAUCACCCCAGAUGCAGACCGGUUCUCCACAUCAAGUGGUGUCCAACUGCCCUGUCCAAUCAGAGCAGAGCUUCAGUCCCUAAGAAGCGACCACUACAGAGUCAACGCCCCCCCUUUCUCAAGACACACUUGUUCAGAGCUCACCUAGACUCUGCAUAGCUCCCCCCUUGACACCCCCACACCCCUCUUUACGCAUUUAUUGUAUGUUGUACGUCCUGGCACUUAUUGUACACACUUAUUGCAUGUUGCAAAAAGUAACUUAUUGCAUCCUUGCACUUAAAAAUAGAACCUAGCAUCGUGUAGCAUCUUUUCCUAGCUAUCUUCUGUUUUUUUUACACAGGGAAUGGGUUAACCUAGUGAUUGUUGCUUGCCAAUUUGUUCUAUAAACAUCCUUACUGUACCGAAAGCCAUAUAUUGUUGCUCUCUUUCUUCUGUCAAAUGUACUUAUUGCACAUUUGUAUACGUCACUUAAAAUAAAAGUGUCCGCUAAACGCCCUAAAUGUAAACGUAAAUGUCGUCUGUCUUAGUUCAUUGAUUUCCGUCGAGUUGCAAAGAAAAUGGUUCAUGACGCAUUAUUCUGAACACCGGUCUGUUCUUCUCAACACAGACCUGUUCUUCUGAAGAGAGAGCUGUUCUUCUGAGUAUGGCUCGCUUCUUCUGAACACAGACCUGUUCUUCUGAACAGAGCUGUUCUUCUGAACACAGAGCUGUCUUCUGAAAACUGGUCUGUUCUUCUGAACACGGCCCUGUUCCUCUGAACACAGAGCUGCUCUUCUGAACACCGUUCUGUUCUUCUGAACACAGAGCAGUUUUUCUGCUCCGUUAUAGCAGCCCAGCCUUCAUAAUGAUGAUGUUGGGUCAAAAUAAAUUUGCUACACGGAAAACGAUUAGUUGGCCACCAGAAUGCUCUCUGUGGACGCUUAGGAAAAACAGAACGAUUUAGAAAGGGCUUCGGUCACAAAGUAUUAAAUCAGUUCCACUCGGUCAGAAGCACAUAACCCCCCCCCCUCUUCCGGCAGAGGAGGUCGGAGAACGCGGCAAACAAACAAACAACCGGGGCCGCUGGAGAGGGAGAAGUGCCUUUCCAGGAUGAUUCAGAGGAUAAAAAGCCCCAAAUCAUUUGGGUUCGUGUAGAUUCAUCCUUCUGUUGAUGCCCUUCAUCAUCCCGGAAGUCAAGCAGCAACUUUAAUUGCAGCAAUUUUAUGCGCAUACAUUUUUUUUAUGUCCAUCUUCUAUGUAUGAUUAUUCCUCCAUUCAUCAACCUAGAGACAUGGAUGUACUGGAGCCAACUCUGUUGUUCACUACAGUAACCCUGGGGAGGGGGGGGACAGUACGUCAUCACGACUGAUCACAGUUAAUGAUCACAGUUACUGAUCAGUUACUGUGAUCAUUAACUGUGAUCAGUUACUGUGAUCAGUAACUGUGAUCAGUAACUGAUCAGUAACUGUGAUCAGUAACUGUGAUCAGUAACUGCGAUCAUUAACUGUGAUCAGUGACUGUGAUCAGUAACUGUGAUCAGUAACUGAUCAGUAACUGUGAUCAGUAACUCUGUGAUGAGGAACUGUGAUCACAAACUUUAAGGCAACACAUCCCUCUCUCAGCACCACUCACUGAUGAGGAGCUCUUUGAGUCCCUGAAGAUCAGCCGAUAUCAGGCCUACGUCUUCAGUCAAACCUCCGGGCGGAGAAGGCUGGCUGGCAACAGACGAACGAUGUCUAAACUGAGAGGGGGGGGGGGUUCCGUUGUGAUGUUUGGGGCUGAGGUUUUGAUUAGUCGACUCAUCUCAGCAGGCCCCGCCCCCUUCGUAAGCCUCCACAUCCUGGUCGCCCCCGACUUCCCCACACAUCGGUUAUCAUCUGCCGGCGGUGCUCAAACAAGGGCGGCAUGUUGCUUAUGAGGUGGAGCAGGUUGUCCGGCAACCGGAAGGUCGCUAGUUCGAUCCCCGGCUCCUCCUAGCUGAGGGUUGAGGUGUCCCUGAGCAAGGCGCCUCGACCUAACUGCUCCCAACGAGCUGGCUGUCAUCUUGCAUGGCUGACACCACCAUCGGUGUGUGAAUGUGUGCGAUAGUGUAUAGCGCUAUGAGUGGCUAAUGGUUAGAAAAGCGCUCUCUCGAACACAAGGAGGACGACCCCAUGAGGAAGAGGACGCCAACGGACACAAGGCGGCCCCAGGUGAUCUCCCGAGCCACAGGUUGGGAACCACUGGGCCGGUUCUCCGUGUUCUGACGGGCUCCGGCUCCACCUCCUCCGGUUUCUGGUGCAUUAGGAGGAGCAGGGUUCUUGGAACGAUGUGCCUUUUUUUUUUCAGGGGAAAAAUGCCAGCACCUCCCAACCCUAACACCUUGGGUCCAUAGAGUGAAGUAAAGGCGAUCUGACUGGCCUUUACUGCUCCCCACACAGCUGGACGUUGCCGUGCCAAAACGACUAGCCGUUGACCCAGAGCUGCCAAACUUGUCAUUUCAUUGGCAAUGAAUUAAAAACAAAAUGAAACCCAAAAGGCAGAGGAAACCAAAAAGGCAGAAUUCCACUCUAGCUUUUUAACUGUUGUUGAAACUGGCAACCGGUCAACUGCGUUGCCAAGGUUAGCCUCUGCUAGAAAUGCACAAGGAUAAUUUUCUAUUUUUAAACGUUGCUGUGUAUAUGAUUCAAAUAAUUUUUUGGCUGUUUUUCUCUUAACCUGAGUCGCUACGCACCUAGCUACUCGUGCCCAACAGCCAGGUUGCAUACACUGCAUUAGCUACAUUAGCAAUAACAGCUACAUCGUACACAACAACAAUACCUACAUUAGCAACAUUAGCUACGGUACCCAGCAUCAUUACAAAUGCCUAGAUUAGCCACAUCAUAAACAAUAGCCAAAUCAGCUACAUUAGCCACACAAGCUACAUUAUCAAUAUUAGCUACAUUAGCUGCAUUCAUUUUAAUAGUUUAAUCAGCUGCAUAUUCUACCAACUAAGCUACAUUGGCAUCCUUCUCUAGAUUUGCAACAUCACACAACACAACAUGAGGAAAGCAUUGUAUCUUCCUGGUCGUAUAAUCUGUAAUUACUUAUUAUUAAUUAUUAUUAAUCACUUAUGCUGGUCUAUGUGCAGGUGAUCAACACAGCAAACAUGCUCUGCUUAGAACCUCCAUCGCAGGAAACCAAAAUCAACACAGGUUCAAAACUCGAGACAAGUGUUCUCAAAUGCCACGCUAACUAAUGAUGUUCUAUAUUUCUGUUCAAACUUAUAUUGUAUUUUAUUUUAAUUAAAUUGUAUUUUAUUCCUUUUGAAGCACAGAUGUACC